GACGCCGCGUGAGGGAUGACGGCCUUCGGGUUGUAAACCUCUUUCAGUAGGGAAGAAGCGAAAGUGACGGUACCUGCAGAAGAAGCACCGGCUAACUACGUGCCAGCAGCCGCGGUAAUACGUAGGGUGCGAGCGUUAUCCGGAAUUAUUGGGCGUAAAGAGCUCGUAGGCGGUUUGUCGCGUCUGUCGUGAAAGUCCGGGGCUUAACCCCGGAUCUGCGGUGGGUACGGGCAGACUAGAGUGCAGUAGGGGAGACUGGAAUUCCUGGUGUAGCGGUGGAAUGCGCAGAUAUCAGGAGGAACACCGAUGGCGAAGGCAGGUCUCUGGGCUGUAACUGACGCUGAGGAGCGAAAGCAUGGGGAGCGAACAGGAUUAGAUACCCUGGUAGUCCAUGCCGUAAACGUUGGGCACUAGGUGUGGGGACCAUUCCACGGUUUCCGCGCCGCAGCUAACGCAUUAAGUGCCCCGCCUGGGGAGUACGGCCGCAAGGCUAAAACUCAAAGGAAUUGACGGGGGCCCGCACAAGCGGCGGAGCAUGCGGAUUAAUUCGAUGCAACGCGAAGAACCUUACCAAGGCUUGACAUGUUCUCGAUCGCCGUAGAGAUACGGUUUCCCCUUUGGGGCGGGUUCACAGGUGGUGCAUGGUUGUCGUCAGCUCGUGUCGUGAGAUGUUGGGUUAAGUCCCGCAACGAGCGCAACCCUCGUUCCAUGUUGCCAGCACGUAAUGGUGGGGACUCAUGGGAGACUGCCGGGGUCAACUCGGAGGAAGGUGAGGACGACGUCAAAUCAUCAUGCCCCUUAUGUCUUGGGCUUCACGCAUGCUACAAUGGCCGGUACAAUGGGUUGCGAUACUGUGAGGUGGAGCUAAUCCCAAAAAGCCGGUCUCAGUUCGGAUUGGGGUCUGCAACUCGACCCCAUGAAGUCGGAGUCGCUAGUAAUCGCAGAUCAGCAUCG
rnacentral:rRNA from 1 species